CCUGCGACCUCAGUCAGCGCGAUACCAUUC
rnacentral:rRNA from 1 species